UUUCAACAAAGUUUUUGUAGCUCCCAUAGUAAUAGGAAUAUCAGUCUUGAUUGCUGCUGUUGUGUCGGUUAUUCUUUUCAAAUUUAAAAAGAGGAAUCCAAAAACUGUUGCGAAGAAGAUAAACGUGUGUACAGCAUAACAUUUAUUUUGACUUGUCGCGUCCGAAUCAUAUACAAGCUGUUUUGUAGCCUUGGUGAUGUUUAAGAGUUGGUGAAAAAGACUACAAGUAUUUAAGUAUAAUUGAUUUGAUAAAGCAUGUUUGUUGAAUUGAAUGUUUACAACUAGUCGUUAAAGCUCCCAACUGUCUCAAAAUUAACUAAAUACAACGUGCCAGGUGAUAAUGCCAGUGCAGUUAUGGCUUUUGAAUCUGUAUCAAUUGGCGUUUUAUAAAGCUUCAUGAAUACAUUUAAUAACAAAAUAUGUCUUUUUGGCCAGCAAAUUUAUGACCAUUUUUGUUCAAUUUACAUGUAAAUAUGGCUAACCUGGCAGAUAAGAUAUACACUUACCUUGAAAAAAAAUGUUUUUCCCCCGAAAAACGACAAACAAUAGGGAGGAAAUAAAAUUCCCAAAGGAUAUAAACACUAAUCCUUUAAAAAAAAUUGACCUACUAUUUGACGGAAGUAUUUUCUGUAAUAUAAUUUGGACCAGUAGCUUUCUUAUGGAUAUAAAUUUUCCGACCAAACUUUGAAACUUGAUUCAAAUCUGCAUUUCCAAAGUGAUUCAUUUAAUUCUAAAAAAAAAAAGUUUAAAUGUCUUACAUGAAAAUCAUUGCUAUCACAGAUUUUUUUCCUUCAAAGUGAAUAUUUUAAUGAGUACAUUUAGAUAUAUAUUAUCUCUCUUUACUCUAUAAGCAACGGCCAACUAUGUGACGUUUUAGAUCUUUUCUAAACUUUCAUCUUUGACGUAUGCAAAAAUGCUAUCUUUGCACUGACAUAUUAAUCCAACUCGAUGUUUAAAGCUUUCAAUCUUUAAAUGUAUGUGUAUGUACAAUUGUACAUUGUAUAUGGUAAUGGCUAUCAAUAAAACUGUUAACAU
rnacentral:misc_RNA from 1 species